rnacentral:misc_RNA from 1 species
UGUGGGAGCCGGCUUGCUGGCGAUAGCGCUGUGUCAGACCAGAAGAUGUCGACGGUCGGAACGCUAUCGCCAGCAAGCCGGCUCCCACA